rnacentral:rRNA from 1 species
CAAGUGUGAGGUAAGGGCAUUUGGUGGAUGCCUUGGCGUGCACAGGCGAUGAAAGACGUGGCACACUGCGAUAAGCCAUGGCGAGACGUGAGCAGUCUUUGACCCAUGGAUUUCUGAAUGGGGAAACCCAGCCUCUCCAAUAAAUCUGGUUUCAUGCCGGCUUCGGCCAGUGUGGAUCCCGGUUUAUUGGGGCGGUUAUCUCCAAGAUGAAUACAUAGUUUUGGAGAGGCAAACCCGGAGAACUGAAACAUCUCAGUACCCGGAGGAAAGGACAUCAAACGAGACUCCCGUAGUAGUGGCGAGCGAACCGGGACCAGGCCAGUAGUUAUUGGUGCGUUAGCGGAACCGUCUGGAAAGUCGGGCCGUAGUGGGUGACAGCCCCGUACGCGAAAACAAUCCAAUGACUCUUGAGUAGGGCGGGGCACGUGAAACCCUGUCUGAACGUGGGGGGACCACCCUCCAAGCCUAAGUACUCGUGCACGACCGAUAGCGAACUAGUACCGUGAGGGAAAGGUGAAAAGCACCCCGAUAAGGGGAGUGAAACAGUACCUGAAACCGAAUGCCUACAAUUCAGUCGGAGCCAUCUUGAAUGGUGACGGCGUACCUCUUGUAUAAUGGGUCAGUGACUUAAUGUAUCGAGCAAGCUUAAGCCGAUAGGUGUAGGCGAAGCGAAAGCGAGUCUUAAACGGGCGUCCAGUUCGAUGCAUUAGACCCGAACCCCGGUGAUCUAGGCAUGGCCAGGCUGAAGGUGCGGUAACACGCACUGGAGGGCCGAACCAGUCAAUGUUGAAAAAUUGUUGGAUGAGCUGUGCCUAGGGGUGAAAGGCCAAUCAAACCGGGAAAUAGCUGGUUCUCCGCGAAAACUAUUGAGGUAGUGCCUCUGGUGAUUGCCCUCGGGGGUAGAGCACUGGAUGGAUGCGGGCGGCGCGAGCCGUACCAAUUCUAACCAAACUCCGAAUACCGAGGAGUACAGCCAGGGAGACAGACUAUGGGUGCUAAGGUCCAUGGUCGAAAGGGAAACAGCCCUGACCAACAGCUAAGGUCCCUAAAUCGUAUCUAAGUGCGAAAGCAUGUGGGAUUUCCAAAACAACCAGGAGGUUGGCUUAGAAGCAGCCAUCCUUUAAAGAAAGCGUAACAGCUCACUGGUCUAAAUAAGAGAUCCUGCGGCGAAGAUGUAACGGGACUAAAGAUACGUACCGAAGCUUUGGAUGUGCGCUUAUGCGUACGUGGUAGCGGAGCGUUCCGUAAGCCUGCGAAGCGGCCUGGUAAUGGGUCGUGGAGGUAUCGGAAGUGAGAAUGCUGACAUGAGUAGCGAUAAAGAGGGUGAGAUGCCCUCUCGCCGAAAGCCUAAGGGUUCCUGCGCAAGGCUAAUCCGCGCAGGGUGAGUCGGAGCCUAAGACGAGGCCGAAGGGCGUAGUCGAUGGUGAUACGGUUAAUAUUCCGUAACUCGGGAGUGUGUGACGGAUUUCGUAAAUUGUCCUUCCUUAUUGGAUUGGUUGGGCAGUGAAGAAGUCCCAGGAAAUAGCCCUCCCUUAUGAUCCGUACCCGAAACCGACACAGGUAGGCUGGUAGAGAAUACCAAGGCGCUUGAGAGAAGUAUCCUGAAGGAACUCGGCAAAUUACCUCCGUAACUUCGGGAGAAGGAGGCCCCAUCCUUGGGCAACCAGGGGUGGGGGGCACAAGCCAGGGGGUAGCGACUGUUUAGCAAAAACACAGGGCUCUGCUAAGUCGGCUUCAAGACGACGUAUAGGGUCUGACGCCUGCCCGGUGCCGGAAGGUUAAGAGGAGAAGUGCAAGCUUUGAAUCGAAGCCCCGGUAAACGGCGGCCGUAACUAUAACGGUCCUAAGGUAGCGAAAUUCCUUGUCGGGUAAGUUCCGACCUGCACGAAUGGCGUAACGACUUCCCCACUGUCUCCAGGAUAUGCUCAGCGAAAUUGAAUUCCCCGUGAAGAUGCGGGGUACCCGCGGUUAGACGGAAAGACCCUGUGCACCUUUACUGCAGUUUCAGAGUGGCAUUAGGAACGAAUUGUGUAGGAUAGGUGGGAGGCUUUGAAGCCAUGGCGCCAGCCGUGGUGGAGCCGUUGGUGAAAUACCACCCUAUUCGUUUCUGAUGUCUAACCUGCGCCCGUUAUCCGGGCGAGGGACCCUCUGUGACGGGUAGUUUGACUGGGGCGGUCGCCUCCUAAAUCGUAACGGAGGCGCGCGAUGGUUGGCUCAAGUCGGUCGGAAACCGACUGUUAGAGUGCAAUGGCAUAAGCCAGCCUGACUGCGAGAUCGACGGAUCGAGCAGAGACGAAAGUCGGUCAUAGUGAUCCGGUGGUUCCAUGUGGAAGGGCCAUCGCUCAACGGAUAAAAGGUACGCCAGGGAUAACAGGCUGAUGAUCCCCAAGAGCUCAUAUCGACGGGAUCGUUUGGCACCUCGAUGUCGGCUCAUCACAUCCUGGGGCUGGAGCAGGUCCCAAGGGUUUGGCUGUUCGCCAAUUAAAGUGGUACGUGAGCUGGGUUCAGAACGUCGUGAGACAGUUUGGUCCCUAUCUGCCGUGGGCGUCGAUACUUGAGAGGAGUUGCCCCUAGUACGAGAGGACCGGGGUGAACGUGCCUCUGGUGUACCUGUCAUUGCGCCAGCAGUGCUGCAGGGUAGCUAUGCACGGACGGGAUAACCGCUGAAGGCAUCUAAGCGGGAAGCCUCCCUCGAGAUAAGGUAUCAUCGAGCCGUGGAAGACCACCACGUUGAUAGGCCGGGUGUGGAAGCGCAGCAAUGCGUGAAGCUAACCGGUCCUAAUUGCUCUUUUCGCACUUGAA